rnacentral:misc_RNA from 1 species
GUAACAAGGUUUCCGUUGGUGAACCAGCGGAGGGAUCAUUACCGAGUUUACAACUCCCAAACCCAAUGUGAACAUACCUCAAGUUGCUUCGGCGGGAACGCCCCGGCGCGCCCUCCGACCCUCCCGCCCGCGGGGGGAUCGGGGAGCCUAGCCCGGACCCAGGCGCCCGCCGGAGGUACCCAAACUCUUGUCUUCAGUAUAUUCUUCUGAGUGGCAAACGCAAAAAUAAAUCAAAACUUUCAACAACGGAUCUCUUGGCUCUGGCAUCGAUGAAGAACG